rnacentral:rRNA from 1 species
CGGGACACGUGGUAUCCUGUCUGAAUAUGGGGGGACCAUCCUCCAAGGCUAAAUACUCCUGACUGACCGAUAGUGAACCAGUACCGUGAGGGAAAGGCGAAAAGAACCCCGGCGAGGGGAGUGAAAAAGAACCUGAAACCGUGUACGUACAAGCAGUGGGAGCACAGAGCAAUCUGUGUGACUGCGUACCUUUUGUAUAAUGGGUCAGCGACUUAUAUUCUGUAGCAAGGUUAACCGAAUAGGGGAGCCGAAGGGAAACCGAGUCUUAACUGGGCGUUAAGUUGCAGGGUAUAGACCCGAAACCCGGUGAUCUAGCCAUGGGCAGGUUGAAGGUUGGGUAACACUAACUGGAGGACCGAACCGACUAAUGUUGAAAAAUUAGCGGAUGACUUGUGGCUGGGGGUGAAAGGCCAAUCAAACCGGGAGAUAGCUGGUUCUCCCCGAAAGCUAUUUAGGUAGCGCCUCGUGAAUUCAUCUCCGGGGGUAGAGCACUGUUUCGGCAAGGGGGUCAUCCCGAC